CAUGCCACCCUUUUCCCCAG
rnacentral:miRNA from 1 species